AAUCAUAUAUAAAUAUUUUUGAAAUUUUUGAAUUUGAAAUCUUUAUUUAGUUUCAAAAUACUAAAUAUUGAAUUUCAAAACAAAAUUUUGAUAAAUUUAAAUAAAAUAACUACAACACUGUGUAAAUAACAAAAUCACAAUAUCAAAUUUAGAUCAAAUAUUAAAAAAAAAAAUUGCCAAAAUCAUUAAAUAUAAUAAAACAAUUUUUAACAACAUAACCUUAAAAAUUUAAUUAAAAAAAGUAAAUAAAUUAGAACAUUUUUACAUAUUUGCUCAUAAAUCAUAAACAACAUAAAUAAACAAAAACAAAUAUAUCAAACUAUAAGCCAUCCUGUCCCACCAUCAAACUUUUUUAUUAAACCAAAGCAACACAAUAUCUGUAUUCAACGAAAAACUUAAGAAAAACUCUAAAAACGGGGCUUUAUUCUCUUGGUGACAACUAAUAAAAAGAGGGUAUCUCUAGUAUAUACAUCGUAAAAACAUAAACAUCUACGCUUCUUACUUUACACUGAGAGAGAAUUAGAAUUCGUUUUAUAAAAUAAAGGAUUAUGGAAAAAAAAACUCGACAUAACUGUGUACAACCCUGGCCUAAUAGAAAAAACGUUUGUCAAAUACUUGAUGGCGAUGAUGAUCGUAUUGUAAAGAUGAUGACGAUGACAACUGGAUGCAUAUAAAGCGGAAAAUCUACGCCUUAAAGAAGAGAAUGGAGCGCUAAUUAGAGUUAUAAGUAAAUUAAGUAAAUGAAAUUCACUUAAUUAAAUAAUUUAAAUUAACAAACACACAUACACAGAGAGAAAACAA